UCUAUGGUUACUUUUGAGCUGCAAUGGCUGAGUUGAGUACUGAAGCUGUGUGGUAGGCAGAAUAAUGAUCCCCCAAAACUGCUCACUCCCUAAUACCUGGAACUCGUGGAUAUGUAAUUUCACAUGACCCAAACUAAUUACAUGAGUCUUUAAAAGCAGAGGACCUUUCUCCAGCUCUGGCCCACGAGACAGAUGGCAGAAUGAGAAGGAUUUGAUGUCCUAAUGCUGGUCCCAAGAUGUAGGAGGCUGCGUGCAAGAAACUGAGUUUUGCCAACUACUCCAGCAAGAAAAUGCAUCCUCCCUAGAGCCUCCAGGAAGGACAGCAGCCUUGAUUUAAGCCCACUGAGACCCAUGUUGACUCUGUUCUAAAGAACUGUAAGGAAGUUUCUAGCAUUUGAAGAGAGAUGCAGAAGAACCCAUUCAUUAUUGCAUCCAGCACCCAGAAAAGUUCCUAACACAUACACCGAGAGUGGUCAGCCAGAUGGGCGGGAACCAGUAUGCUGUUUCUGCUAUCCAGUACACCUUACCAAGAUUUCACAGAACCUCUGACUAAUACAGCAAUAUUGAUUUUAUCUAAAGGGAAUUACUUUUAAGAAAAUUUUCUCCUAAAUCGCCCUGGAAGAUGCUCUCUUGUUUAACCAAAUAGUGUUGAUUAAAAGGUUGAAAUGAAUGCUAAGUGAGCUGUUUUGUUUACUAGUGGAAACAAUUAUUUCUUCAGCCCUCGCCUUUCAUCUCCAUAAAUUAAUGCUCUUUUCUCUGUGCUUCAUUGACGGCUGGUGAAUUAUGCAAAUAUUUUUUCUGUAAGAAAUUAGAUAAAGUAGUCUCGAGACUUCUUAUAACAAGUCAUUAUAAAGAAUGGCAAGUUAACAAUUUGAUUUAAAAUACUGUUCUCAAUCUAGGUUGCCUAAGUUCAAAUGUUUUAACCUUUAAAUCAAU
rnacentral:lncRNA from 1 species